GACGAACGCUGGCGGCGUGCUUAACACGUGCAAGUCGAACGCUGAAGCUCAGCUUUUGUUGGGUGGAUGAGUGGCGAACGGGUGAGUAACACGUGAGUAACCUGCCCCCUUCUUUGGGAUAACGCCCGGAAACGGGUGCUAAUACUGGAUAUUCACUGGUCUUCGCAUGGGGGUUGGUGGAAAGGGUUUUUCUGGUGGGGGAUGGGCUCGCGGCCUAUCAGCUUGUUGGUGGGGUGAUGGCCUACCAAGGCUUUGACGGGUAGCCGGCCUGGGAGGGUGACCGGUAAGAUUGGGACUGAGAUACGGCCCAGACUCCUACGGGAGGCGGAAGUGGGGAAUAUUGCACAAUGGGCGCAAGCCUGAUGCAGCGACGCCGCGGGAGGGAUGGAGGCCUUCGGGUUGUGAACCUCUUUCGCUCAUGGUCAAGCCGCAACAAUGGUUGUGGUGAGGGUAGUGGGUAAAGAAGCGCCGGCUAACUACGUG
rnacentral:rRNA from 1 species